ACCAACAAAAGAAUCAGCCUAAGAACUGAAAUUGCAAUCGGUAUUUAUUAACAUGAAUUUGUCAUUUUUGAAACUCUCAUCCACAUGCAGGCAGUUGACACUUUAUAGUGUAUUUAUUAGAUAAGUCAUACUAUGAAAAUGUCUUCCCGGACUCUAGUAUACGCCAAAAAAAGAUCCUAGUUUUAUUUUCUACCACCAGCCAAAGCAAAGUCUCCUUAAAGCACUGCCCAUAAGACAAAUAAAAAAAGAUGCUCUGAAUUCCAUCAACACAAUUAUUUCACCAACAAAAGAAUCAGCCUGAGAACUGAAAUUGCAAUCA
rnacentral:misc_RNA from 1 species